rnacentral:rRNA from 1 species
UAGGGAAUCUUCGGCAAUGGACGAAAGUCUGACCGAGCAACGCCGCGUGAGUGAAGAAGGUUUUCGGAUCGUAGAACUCUGUUGGUAGAGAAGAACGUUGGUGAGAGUGGAAAGCUCAUCAAGUGACGGUAACUACCCAGAAAGGGACGGCUAACUACGUGUCAG